AUCGGUGAAAACCACGUGAUCAUCCACGAGAGCGGUCCAGAGUCGCUGAGAUAACCAGAACUGCAGAUACCACAGACUCUGAGAUAACAUGGUGUGCAGCUGGAUGAACACAGCAGGUCAAGCAGCAUCAGAGGAGCAGGAAAGCUGACGUUUCGGGCCUAGCUCCUUCGCUGAGACCAAGAUUUGUGCAAUUGAGAUACCAGCGAUCGUUGCCAAAGCCCUGUUCCCUGUGGAGAAGGUGAUAUUUAACUUUCGUGUGCUGCUGCAGUUCGUAUGAUGAAGGUGCUCCCACAAUGCGGUCAUUUGAGAAGUUACAGAUCGGUCAUCAAGCGAUACUGAAGAGCUGAUGAAUAUUACAAGUGGACUUUCAGUUGGGAAGCUCAAUAAUUGUAACACGAAACUGACAGAAUUACUUAAUUCAUCAGCACCUGGAUAUUCGCAUUGUGUAUUUCCACAAUUUUACUUCUGCACUAUUCUUAGUCUUUCAGAGGGAUCGAAAGGUUGAGUUACAGAUCUAUACCAUGACUGUCCUUCCUCCCUGGCUCUCCCACCUCUCUCUUUUGGUAGUUUGAUGCAAACACUGACUGGAUCCCUUACCUGGAGGAUAUUUGUGAAUGAAUGUGUUCUAAUGGUGAUCUAGCAUAUUCCCCAAGUGUUGCUCCACACAUGUCCAGAGAAUUUCUCAGUUUCACAAUGUGUGUCCCCUUCUGGUUUCUUACUCGCUACACUUACUUUCUGUUUGAAAGUAUAGUCUGCCGUCGGAGAAUUCAAACUGUUCCACAUCCAGGUCUGACAGUCACUUUGUUUAUCACAAACCCAAUUUUCUCAGGAUUUUGAACAUUGAAGGAAAAAGCAGCACUCAUAUUGGGGAGAAAAGCACAUGGUGUGUAUGUUGAAGAGUCUGUGAAGAUUCAUCUGAAAUGUCCGAACACCAGUGCAGUGACACUGAGAGAGAGUGUGGAAAUGUGCAGAUUGCAAGAAGGAAUUUCUUCAUCGAUCCGAGCUAGAAACUGACCACCAGAGUCACACUGGAGAGAGACCAUUGACCUGUUCUGCGUGAGGGAAAGGCUUUGCUGACUGGAAUUCCCCACUGAUGCACCAGCGAGUUCACUCUGGGGAGAGACCUUUCAUGAGCUCUGAGUGUGGGAAGGGAUUCAUUGUCAUCCAAACUGUUAACACACCAGCGAGUUCACAGACAACCACAGUUGACGGACUUUGCUGUCACUCUCACUAGCAAAUGAACCAUGGUUUUGGGCUGUUUGUACAGAUAUUACUGAUCCCUGCUCAAUUAAAGGUGCUGGUAUUGUGAAUAAAAUGUCACACUAACAGUUGUGUAAGGUAGAGCUUGGAAAUAGUCACGUUGUCACAACACAUCGACACAUUCACACUGACUAAAGACUAUCCACCUGCACGAUAUGUGAAAAGGGAUUUCCCGGUUCAUCAGGACUGGUUAACUACCAGCAAAUUUCUGAAUAAGUUGAUUGGUUUGAAUAUAGCUAACAGUAGAAUCAAAAAUAGUAUCAGUGAUAAUGGGAACUGCAGAUGCUGGAGAAUCCAAGAUAACAAAAAGUGUGGAGCUGGAUGAACACAGCAGGCCAAGCAGCAUCUCAGGAGCACAAAA